UAAUACGUAGGCAGCAAGCGUUGUUCGGAAUUACUGGGCGUAAAGAGUGUGUAGGCGGUGCCGUAAGUUUGGCGUGAAAUCUCCCGGCUUAACUGGGAGGGUGCGCCGAAGACUGCGGUGCUUGAGGGUUGGAGAGGAAAGUGGAAUUUCUGGUGUAGCGGUGAAAUGCGUAGAUAUCAGAAGGAACACCUGUGGUGUAGACGGCUUUCUGGACAACUCCUGACGCUGAGACACGAAAGCGUGGGUAGCAAACAGGAUUAGAUACCCUGGUAGUCCACGCCCUAAACGAUGCAUACUUGGUGUGAGCCAUUCACUUGGUUCGUGCCGGAGCUAACGCGUUAAGUAUGCCGCCUGGGGAGUACGGUCGCAAGGCUG
rnacentral:rRNA from 1 species